UACGGGGGGAGCAAGCGUUGUUCGGAUUUACUGGGCGUAAAGGGCGCGUAGGCGGCCACCGCAAGUCGACUGUGAAAUCUCCGGGCUUAACCCGGAAAGGUCAGCCGAUACUGCGGGGCUAGAGUGCAGAAGGGGCAACUGGAAUUCUCGGUGUAGCGGUGGAAUGCGUAGAGAUCCGGAAGAACACCGGUGGCGAAGGCGGUUGGCUGGGCCGUGGCUGACACUGAUGCGCGACAGCGUGGGGAGCAAACAGG
rnacentral:rRNA from 1 species